ACUUUUCCUAAAGUAACUAGGAUUGGGAAAUUUUAAAAAAAUGUGUAGUUACUUUAUAUUUCUUAUUAUACUUUUAAUGAGAGGAUGAGGUUGCCCUAUCCUACCCGUUCGGCUAACGACCCUCCACCGAUCAAGCAAGCGGUGGGUGUGAGUGUACACCCAUUAAGUGCCAUUUUAUAGGCCGCAACCUUAUACCCACCUUAUAGAUCGGCUUCAUGAAUGAGGCCCACUAACGGUAAGACUAGCAUUUUAGUUAUACAUAUAUAUACAUAUUAAUCUUCUAAUAUUAUAUUAGUAUAGGGUUCNAACAAAAGUAACUGGUGGUGUUGAAAUAGAGGUUGAUGUAAGAUCAACCGAAACUGUAACUUUCAGUUUCGGUGAUGGAGGUGGGGUUGGAAGUUUAUGAGAAGGAGAUUCGGUUGGAGUGGGAGAUUUGGGUAGAGUAUUACCUCUUGGAGAUUCCUGACGAGAUUCCUCUACUUCAUCAUCGUUGUGACCUGAGUCUGCGGGAGUCGGACUCUUGGAUUUUCUUGCCAUUCUUUUAACCUUCUUCGGCUUAGAAGAGCUCUCUUUCUCCGACUUUCGCUUAUUUGAUUUGGAAGGCUUAGAUUCAUCCUUCUCAGUUGUUUCUUUCUUUACCCUUUUUCCUCGGUUGCUUGGCUUGUGAACUGCAUCCAGAGCUGCCUGCUGUUCCGGAGUAAGGACUCGUGGUUCUUUUGGAGGAAGCUUUCUGUAUUCUGCCAUAACCCUACUUUCUGCUAAGACACAACGAAACAUGGAGUCAGGAAUGGAUCCCUUGUGAUGAAACUUUGUAGGAUCAUAGAUGAUGAUCUUCUUUGUAUGAAACGUAGCAAUGGAAGCGAUAAGUGAUGGGUUUUAUCCAUAUGAACAUUCCUAUGUGCACAUACAAACCCUAAUGCUCGGAUCUAGGUUUCUCUAAUUGAACAUGCAUUGGAUCCAAGACUUCUUAUAACUAAUAGAGUAUAAGAACAAUACAAAACCAGAGUUAGAAGCAUACCUUGAAACACUUGUUUGUUCUUCUUGUUCUUGGAGCUUUAGAGUCACAAAUGUCACUCCUCUAAUGGCUUACAAACACCAACUAGCAAGAGGAUGAUUUGAGAGAGAGGAGAGGGAAUAGAAAUCGGCCAGGGUUUCUUUGCUUUAGUAGAGGUGCCGAUUUCCCUUGCCCCAAGGGUCUAUUUAUACUUGUAAGGAUCCUAGGGUUUCACCCUUAAACCCUAGUUGGAUAAUCUUUACUCAAAGCAAUCCAAAUCCUUUCCAAGAUAAGCCCUUGGACGAUUUGUGGCUUAUCCCAAGCCCUUGAAAUCGUCCAACCCUAUCCAAGAAGGAUUUACUGCCCAAAGUGUAACUAUCAAACAAUUGACAGUUUAUACCCUCUUAUUUAAUUAAUCUCUUUAAGUCACCAAAUUAAUUCUAAUUAAUUUUAGACUUAUAUUAAUCAAAUAACAAUAUUAAUAUUCCUUAUAUUAUUCUCAUAAUAUAUUAAUAAUAUUUAUUCUCUCAUAAUAAAUCAUCCUGUCAAGUUGCUAUGGUGAAGGCAACCCAAAAGGACCAUGCACAAUCGGUUCAAAUACUUUCCUAAUAUACUUGUAGCCUUAGACACUAUUCCAACAGUGAAGGCAACCCAAAAGGACCAUGCACAAUCGGUUCAAAUACUUUCCUAAUAUACUUGUAGCCUUAGACACUAUUCCAACAAAACCUACAUCUGAGUAACCAAUGAGCAUAGAUUUGGAGGACACAAAAAUUGAAGACCAUGAUUGAGAGUGUCCUUGAUGUAUCGCAUGAUCCUUUUUACUAAGGUGAGGUGUUCAUGUGUAGGAGGGUGGAGGAACUGACCUACUUGAUUAACAAUGUAUGAGAUGUCCAGGUUGGUGAUAGCCAAAUACUAAAGAGCACCAAAAAACGAUCGGUAGAUGGUUGAGUCGUGAAAAUGAGUUUUGUUUAUAGAAAAAAACAUCAUUUGUGGCCAGUGGCAUUCCAACAGGUUUAGAAAAAAGAAGACCUGCCCGACAUAGAAUAUCAUGACCGUACUUGGUUUCGUUUAGAAACAAACCAUCGGAAGUGCAAUGGUUUGUUGAAAGUGUAAGCCGCAUAAAGCUUGGUAGUAAUGAAUUUCAUUUGCAAUUUUUCGUACAAUACAAGUUCUCGAACGAAAUGGUAAUCAAUUUCUAUAUUUUUAGGUCUCUUGUGUGCUACCAGGUUUUUCACUAAGGAAGAUGGCGCUUAAGUUGUCACAAAGUAACAUUAGGCGUUCAGUUGGCAAUGCAUUUAAGUCACGUAAGGGAUGAGGAAUCCAUGUGAGCUCGACAGUGAUGUUCGCCAUGGCUUGGUAUUCGGAUUCACAAGUACAAAUUAAAAAGGUAGUUUUUCUUCAGACUCGAAGACCCAACAUUUGCACGAAUGAAGAUCGUGUAGCCAUAGGUGGAACGUCUGGUUUCAAUAUAACACGUUAAAUCUGCAUCUGAGUAACCAAUGAUCAUAGAUUUGGGGGACACAAAAAUUUAAGACCAUGAUUGAGAAUGUCCUUGAUGUAUCGCAUGAUCCUUUUUACUAAGGUGAGGUGUUCAUGUGUUGGAGGGUGGAGGAACAAACCUGCUCCAUUAACAAUGUAUGAGAUGUCCGGUUUGGUGAUAGCCAAAUACUAAAGCGUGCCAAAACACGAUCAGAAGAGGGUUGAGUCGUGAAAAGGAGUUUUGUUUAUAGAAAAAACAUCGUUUGUGGCAAGUGGCAUUCCAACAGGUUUAGAAACAAGAUGACCGGCCCGACAUAGAAUAUCAUGACCAUACUUGGUUUGGUUUAGAAACAAACCAUCAGAAGUGUAAUGGUUUGUUGAAAGUGUAAGCCGCCUAAAGCUUGGAAGUAACAAAUUUCAUAUGCAAUUUUUCGGACAAUACAAGAUCUCGAACGAAAUGGUGAUCAAUGUUGAUAUGUUUAGCUCUGUUGUGUGCUACCGGGUUUUCACUAAAGAAGACAGCGCUUAAGUUGUCACAAAGUAAGAUUAGCCGUUCAGGUGGCAAUGCAUUUAAGUCACGGAAAGGAUGAGGAAUACAUGUGUGCUAGGCCGUGAUGUUCACCAUUGCUUGGUAUUUGGAUUCACAUCUAUAUCUUAAAAAGUUAGGUUUUUUUUUCAAACUCCCAAACCCAAGAUUUGCACCAAAGAAGAUCAUGUAGCCAUAGGUGGAACGUCUGGUUUCAAUAUAAAACGUUAAAUCUGCAUCUGAGUAACCAAUGAGCAUAGAUUUGGAUGACACAAAAAUUGAAGACCAUGAUUGAGAGUGUCCUUGAUGUAUCGCAUGAUACUUUUUACUAAGUGGGGUGUUCAUGUAAUGGAGGGUGCAGAAACUGACCUGCUUGAUUAACAAUGUAUGAGAUGUCUGGGUUGGUGAUAACCAAAUACUAAAGAGCGCCAACAAACGAUCGGUAGAGGGUUGAGUCGUUCAAAGGAGUUUUGUUUAUAGAAAAAACAUCAUUUGUGGCCAGUGGCAUUCCACCAGGUUUAGAAAAAAGAAGACCGGCCCGACAUAGAAUAUCAUGACCAUACUUGGUUUGGUUUAGAAACAAACCAUCAGAAGUGCAAUGGUUUGUUGAAAGUAUAAGCCGCCUAAAGCUUGGUAGUAAUGAAUUUCAUGUGCAAAUUUUCAUACAAUACAAGUUCUCGAACGAAAUGGUGAUCAAUGUCGAUAUUUUUAGCUCCCUUGUGUGCUACCAGGUUUUUCACUAAGGAAGAUGGUGCUUAAGUUGUCACAAAGUAACAUUAGGCGUUCAUUUGGUAAUGCAUUUAAGUCACGUAUGGGAGGAGGAAUCCAUGUGAGCUCGGCAGUGCUGUUCGCCAUGGCUUGGUAUUCGGAUUCACAACUACAUCUUAAAAAGGUACUUUUUUUUCAAACUCAAAGACCUAAUAUUCGCACGAAAGAAGAUCGUGUAGCGAUAGGUGGAACGUCUGGUUUCAAUAUAACACAUUAAAUUUGCAUCUGAGUAACCAAUGAACAUAGAUUUGGAGGACACAAAAAUUGAAGACCAUGAUUGAGAGUGUCCUUGAUGUAUCGCAUGAUCCUUUUUACUAAGUGGGGUGUUCAUGUAAUGGAGGGUGCAGAAACUGACCUGCUUGAUUAACAAUGUAUGAGAUGUCCGGGUUGGUGAUAACCAAAUACUAAAGAGCGCCAACAAACGAUCGGUAGAGGGUUGAGUCGUUCAAAGGAUUUUUGUUUAUAGAAAAAACAUCAUUUGUGGCCAGUGGAAUUCCACCAGGUUUAGAAAAAAGAAGACCGCCCCGACAUAGAAUAUCAUGACCAUACUUGGUUUGGUUUAGAAACAAACCAUCGAGAGUGCAAUGGUUUGUUGAAAGUAUAAGCCGCCUAAAGCUUGGUAGUAAUGAAUUUCAUUUGCAAAUUUUCGUACAAUACAAGUUCUCGAACGAAAUGGUGACCAAUGUCGAUAUUUUUAGCUCCCUUGUGUGCUACCUGGUUUUUCACUAAGGAAGAUGGUGCUUAAGUUUUCACAAUGUAACAUUAGGCGUUCAGUUGGUAAUGCAUUUAAGUCACGUAAGGGAGGAGGAAUCCAUGUGAGCUCGGCAGUGCUGUUCGCCAUUGUAACAGCCCGGAAUCUCAGGUAUUAUUAAAAUUAUGUUUUUGGGGUGAUUUAAAAGGGGGACUCGGCNGAGCCUAGACUCGCCGAGUAGGAUCGCGGACUUGGUCGCGGGUCCGCGACUGGACUCGACGAGUCCAGAUAUGGACUCGGCGAGUCGACGCUGUUCAGCAGAAACCCUAACCGUUCAGGGUUGGGACGUAUAAAAGGGGUUCAUUGGCCGUCAUUGUUCGUUUUUGCCUUCUGAGAAGAACCCUAAAUCGAUUAAGUGCAGCAGGAGCAAAGAUCUUAGGCCAUUGUUGGUUAUAGAAGAGUGGGUGUGCAAGGAAGAGGGAGGAUUGGCUAAAAGAGCAGCAAAGGGGUCACAUUCUGAGGUUGGGAAUACAGAGAACACAUCAUCCAGGUAAGAAUUCGUGUUUGCUCUGUUAUUUUGAUGUAUUUAUGAAAUUAGGGUUUAUAGAACCCAUUUAGUGAUUUGAUGAAGUAAUGCCUUGUUACCCCACGAUUAUAGUCUUGUAUUAGGACCUUUAGAGGUCCAGAAGGUCCCAUGCAUGUGUACUUCGGGACGAGACCUAUCCCAGGAAGCAGUUACUCGUCUGCAUGGCAUGGACUCGCCGAGUUGUUCUUCAGACUCGGCGAGUAGCUUGAAGAUGUGCUGGGACUCGCCGAGUUGUUCAUCAGACUCGGCGAGUGGAGUCGGGGUGGCCCCGCGAUUCUUCCACGAGGACCUCGUCGAGUCAAGAGGUAUACUCGACGAGUAGAAAGGGAAUAUUCAGGAAUCUGUGAGGACGACUAGACUCGCCGAGUCGCCAUGGUACUCGCCGAGUCCAGUCGAGUUGACCGUUGACCGUUGACCAGAGUUGACCUAAGUCUGACUUCUUAGGGAUAGUCACACUUAGAUGAUAUGAGUGUUAAUGAGUUAUGUAAUGUUAUAGGAGGGUUGUAGCUCGUUGGUUUGUGCGCGAGUGAUUUCAGGAGUUGCUAGCUUUCAGCACUUACGAGGUGAGUCUUCUCACUAUACUGUACCCGGAAGGGUUUGACUGUGUGACCGAAAGGUCGGAUAUGAUAUGUGAUAUGCAUGCUAUAUGUGGUAUGUUAUAUGUUAUAUGCUAUAUGUGCUAUGUAUGUUAUGGGCCGAAAGGCGAUAUGAUGUGUGAUGGACCGGAAGGUCGGCGUGGGUAAGGCCGGAAGGUUUACCCAGCAGGGACGGAAGUCCCCAGAGACACAUGGACCGGAAGGUCGGGCCGGAAGGCAAUGUUAUGUGGACCGAAUGGUCUGGGCCGGAAGGCGUAUGUGCGUAAGUUGUAUAUUGGGGAACUCACUAAGCAUUUAUGCUUACAGUUGUUGUGGAUGUAUGUAUUUCAGGUACUAGCGAGGACCGUGGGAAGGCGCCGGCAUGAUCGAUACACACUGAAGAUUGUUUUAGGAUCUUGGGAGUUUGAAUAAAUGUAUUGACUGAAUAAUUAAACUAUUUAUGCCUUGUUUUGAUGGAAAAUAUUAUGUUCUAAAAAUGAAAAAUUUGUUUGAAAAAUUUGAGUUGUUACAGCCAUGGCUUGGUAUUCGGAUUCACAACUACAUCAUAAAAAGGUACUUUUUUUUCAAACUCAAAGACCCAAUAUUUGCACGAAAGAAGAUCGUGUAGCCAUAGGUGGAACGUCUGGUUUCAAUAUAACACAUUAAAUUUGCAUCUAAGUAACCAAUGAACAUAGAUUUGGAGGACACAAAAAUUGAAGACCAUGAUUGAGAGUGUCCUUGAUGUAUCGCAUGAUCCUUUUUACUAAGGUGAGGUGUUCAUGUGUUGGAGGGUGGAGGAACUGACCUGCUUCAUUAAAAAUGUAUGAGAUGUCUGGUUUGGUGAUAGCCAAAUUCUAAAACGUGCCAAAAAACGAUCGGAAGAGGGUUGAGUCGUGAAAAGGAGUUUUGUUUAUAAAAAAACAUCGUUUGUGGCCAAUGGCAUUCCAACAGGUUUAGAAACAAGAAGGCCGGCCUCACAUAAAAUAUCAUGACCAUACUUGGUUUGGUUUAGAAACAAACCAUUGGAAGUGUAAUGGGUUGUUGAAGUGUAAGCCGUCUAAAGCUUGGCAAUAACAAAUUUCAUAUGCAAUUUUUCGGACAAUACAAGUUCUCGAACGAAAUGGUGAUCAAUGUCGAUACGUUUAGCUCUCUUUUGUGCUAUCGGGUUUUCACUAAGGAAGAUGUCGCUGAAGUUUUCACAAAGUAACAUUAGGCAUUGAGUUGGCAAUGCAUUUAAGUCAUGUAAGGGAUGAGGAAACCAUGUGAGCUCGGCAGUGCUGUUCGCGAUGGCUUGGUAUUCGGAUUCACAACUACAUCUUAACAAGGUAGUUUUUUUUUUCAAACUCCAAGACCCAAGAUUUAGAUCAAAGAAGAUUGUGUAGCCAUAGGUGGAACGUCUGGUUUCAAUAUAACACGUUAAACCUGCAUCUGAGUAACCAAUGAGAAUAGAUUUGGAGGACACAAAAAUUUAAGACCAUGAUUGAGAGUGUCCAUGAUGUAUCGCAUGAUCCUUUUUACUAAGGUGAGGUGUUCAUGUGUAGGAGGGUGUAGGAACUGACCUGCUUGAUUAACAUUGUAUGAGAUGUCUAGGUUGGUGAUAGCCAAAUACUAAAGAGCACCAACAAACGAUCGGUAGAGGGUUGAGUCGUGAAAAGGAGUUUUUUUUAUAGAACAAACAUCGUUUGUGGCAAGUGGCUUUCCAACAGGUUUAGAAACAAGAAGACCGGCCCGACAUAGAAUAUCAUGACCAUACUUGGUUUGGCUUUGAAACAAACAAUCAGAAGUGUAAUGGUUUUUUGAAAGUGUAAGCAGCCUAAAGCUUGGUAGUAACAAAUUUCAUAUGGACUUUUUCGGACAAUACAAGUUCUCGAACAAAAUGGUGAUCAAUGUCGAUUUGUUUACCUCUCUUGUGUGCUACCGGGUUUUCACUAAGGAAGAUGGCGCUUAAGUUGUCAUAAAGUAACAUUAGGCGUUCAGUUGGCAAUGCAUUUAAGUCACAGAGUGGAUGAGGAAUCCAUGUGAGCGCGGCAGUGUUGUUCGCCAUGGCUUGGUAUUUGGAUUCACAACUACAUCUUAAAAAGUUAGGUUUUUUUUUCAAACUCCUAGACCCAAGAUUUGCACCAAAGAAGAUCGUGUACCUAUAGGUGGAACGUUUGGUUUCAAUAUAACACGUUAAAUUUUCAUGUGAGUAACCAAUGAUCAUAGAUUUCGAGGCACAAAAAUUGAAGACCAUGAUUGAGAGUGUCCUUGAUGUAUCGCAUGAUCCUUUUUACUAAGGUGAGGUGUUCAUGUGUUGGAGGGUGGAGGAACUGACCUGCUUGAUUAAUAAUGUAUGAGAUGUUCGGGUUGGUGAUAACAAAAUACUAAAGAGCGCCAACAAAUGAUUGGUAGAGGGUUGAGUCGUUCAAAAGAGUUUUGUUUAUAGAAAAAACAUCAUUUGUUGCCAGUGACAUUCCAACAGGUUUAGAAAAAAGAAGACCGGCCCGACAUAGAAUAUCAUGACCAUACUUGGUUUGGUUUAGAAACAAACCAUCGGAAGUGCUAUGGUUUGUUAAAAGUGUAAGCCGUCUACAGCUUGGUAGUAACAAAUUUCAUAUGCAAUUUUUCGGACAAUACAAUUUCUCGAACGAAAUGGUGAUCAAUGUCGAUAUGUUUAGCCCUCUUGUGUGCUACCAGGUUUUCACUAAGGAAGAUGGCUAUUACGUUGUCACAAAGUAACAUUAGGCGUUCAGUUUGCAAUGCAUUUAAGUCACGUAAGGGAUGAGGAAUCCAUGUGAGCUCGGCAGUGCUGCUCGCCAUGGCUUGGUAUUCAAAUUCACAACUACAUCUUAAAAAGGUAGGUUUUUAUAUCAAACUCCAAGGCCCAAGAUUUGCACCAAAGAAGAUCGUGUAGCCAUAGGUGGAACGUAUGGUUUCAAUAUAACACGUUAAACCUGCACCUGAGUAACCAAUGACCAUAGAUUUGGAGGACACAAAAAUUGAAGACCAUGAUUGAGAGUGUCCAUGAGGUAUCGCAUGAUCCUUUUUACUAAGGUGAGGUGUUCAUGUGUAGGAGGGUGGAGGAACUGACAUGCUUGAUUAACAAUGUAUGAGAUGUCCGGAUUGGUGAUAGCCAAAUACUAAAGAGCGCCGGCAAACGAUCGGUAGAGGGUUGAGUCGUGAAAAGGAGUUUUGUUUAUAGAAAAAACAUCAUUUGUGGCAAGUGGCAUUCCAACAGGUUUACAAACAAGAACACCGGCCCGACAUAGAAUAUCAUGACCAUACUGUUUUCUGUUUAGAAACAAACCGUUGGAAGUGUAAUGGUUUGUUGAAAGUGUAAGCCGCCUAAAGCUUGGUAGUAACAAAUUUCAUAUGUAUUUUUUCGAACAAUAAAAGUUCUCGAAAUAAAUGGUGAUCAAUGUCGAUACGUUUAGCUCUCUUGUGUGCUACCGGGUUUUCACUAAGGAAGAUGGCGCUUCAGUUGUCACAAAGUAACAUUAGGAGUUCAGUUGGCAAUUCAUUUAAGUCACGGAAAGGAUGAGGAAUCCAUGUGAGCUUGACAGUGCUGUUCGCCAUGGCGUGGUAUUCGGAUUCACAGCUACAUCUUAACAAGUUAGUUUUUUUCUCAAACUCCCAGACCCAAGAUUUGCACCGAAGAAGAUCGUGUAGCCAUAGGUGGAACGUUUGGUUUCAAUAUAACACGUUAAAUCUGCAUCUGAGUAAGCAAUGAGCAUUGAUUUGGAGGACACAAAAAUUGAAGACCAUGAUUGAGAGUGUCCUAGAUGUAUCGCGUGAUCCUUUUUACUAAGGUAAGGUGUCCAUGUGUUGGACGGUGGAGGAACUCACCUGCUUGAUUAACAAUGUAUGAGAUGUCCGGGUUGGUGAUAACCAAAUAAUAAAGAGUGCCAACAAACGAUCGGUAGAGGGUUGAGUUGUGAAAGGGAGUUUUGUUCAUAGAAAGAAUAUCAUUUGAGGCCAGUGCCAUUCCAACAGGAUUAUAAAAAACCAGACUGGCCCGACAUAGAAUAUCAUGACCAUACUUGGUUUGGUUUAGAACCAAACCAUCGGAAGUGAAAUGGUUUGUUGAAAGUGUAAGCCACCUAAAGCUUGGUAGUAACAAAUUUCAUAUGUAAUUUUUUGGACAAUACAAGUUCUCGAACGAAAUGGUGAUCAAUGUCGAUAUGUUUAGCUCUCUUGUGUGCUACCGGGUUUUCACUAAGGAAGAUGGCGAUUAAGUUGUCACAAAGUAACAUUUGGCGUUCAGUUGGCAAUGCAUUUAAGUCAAGUAAGGGAUGAAGAAUCCAUGUGAGCUCGGCAGUGCUGUUCGCCAUGGCUUGGUAUUCAGAUUCACAACUACAUCUUAAAAAGGUAGGUUUUUUUUCAAACUCCAAGACCCAAGAUUUGCACCAAAGAAGAUCAUGUAGCCAUACGUGGAAAGUCUGGUUUCAUUAUAACAUGUUAAACCUGCAUCUGAGUAACCAAUGAGCAUAGAUUUGGAGGACACAAAAAUUGAAGACCAGGAUUGAGAGUGUCCUUGAUGUAUCACAUUAUCCGUUUUACUAAGGUGAGGUGUUCAGGUGUAGGAGGGUGGAGGAACUGACCUGGUUGAUUAACAAUGUAUGAGAUGUCUAGAUUGGUGAUAGCCAAAUACUAAAGAGCGCCAACAAAUGAUCGGUAGAGGGUUGAGUCGUGAAAAGGAGUUUUGUUUAUAGAAAAAAAAACAUCGUUUUUUGCGAGUGGCAUUCCAACAGGUUUAGAAACAAGAAGACAGGCCCGACAUAGAAUAUCAUGACCAUACUUGGUUUGGUUUAGAAACAAACCAUUGGAAGUGUAAUGGGUUGUUGAAGUGUAAGCCGUCUAAAGCUUGGCAAUAACAAAUUUCAUAUGCAAUUUUUCGGACAAUACAAGUUCUCGAACGAAAUGGUGAUCAAUGUCGAUAUGUUUAGCUCUCUUUUGUGCUAUCGGGUUUUCACUAAGGAAGAUGUCGCUGAAGUUUUCACAAAGUAACAUUAGGCAUUGAGUUAGCAAUGCAUUUAAGUCAUGUAAGGGAUGAGGAAACCAUGUGAGCUCGGCAGUGCUGUUCGCCAUGGCUUGGUAUUCGGAUUCACAACUACAUCUUAACAAGGUAGUUUUUUUUUCAAACUCCAAGACCCAAGAUUUAGACCAAAGAANGUCGUGAAAAGGAGUUUUGUUUAUAGAAAAAACAUCAUUUGUGGCAAGUGGCAUUCCAACAGGUUUACAAACAAGAAGACCGGCCCGACAUAGAAUAUCAUGACCAUACUGUUUUUGGUUUAGAAACAAACCGUUGGAAGUGUAAUGGUUUGUUGAAAGUGUAAGCCGCCUAAAGCUUGGUAGUAACAAAUUUCAUAUGUAUUUUUUCGAACAAUACAAGUUCUCGAAAUAAAUGGUGAUCAAUGUCGAUACGUUUAGCUCUCUUGUGUGCUACCGGGUUUUCACUAAGGAAGAUGGCGCUUCAGUUGUCACAAAGUAACAUUAGGAGUUCAGUUGGCAAUUCAUUUAAGUCAGGGAAAGGAUGAGGAAUCCAUGUGAGCUUGACAGUGCUGUUCGCCAUGGCGUGGUAUUCGGAUUCACAGCUACAUCUUAACAAGUUAGUUUUUUUCUCAAACUCCCAGACCCAAGAUUUGCACCAAAGAAGAUCGUGUAGCCAUAGGUGGAACGUUUGGUUUCAAUAUAACACGUUAAAUCUGCAUCUGAGUAAGUAAUGAGCAUUGAUUUGGAGGACACAAAAAUAGAAGACCAUGAUUGAGAGUGUCCUAGAUGUAUCGCGUGAUCCUUUUUACUAAGGUAAGGUGUCCAUGUGUUGGAGGGUGGAGGAACUCACCUGCUUGAUUACCAAUGUAUGAGAUGUCCGGGUUGGUGAUAACCAAAUAAUAAAGAGUGCCAACAAACGAUCGGUAGAGGGUUGAGUUGUGAAAGGGAGUUUUUUUCAUAGAAAAAAUAUCAUUUGAGGCCAGUGCCGUUCCAACAGGAUUAUAAAAAACCAGACCGGCCCGACAUAGAAUAUCAUGACCAUACUUGGUUUGGUUUAGAACCAAACCAUCGGAAGUGCAAUGGUUUGUUGAAAGUGUAAGCCACCUAAAGCUUGGUAGUAACAAAUUUCAUAUGUAAUUUUUUGGACAAUACAAGUUCUCGAACGAAAUGGUGAUCAAUGUCGAUAUGUUUAGCUCUCUUGUGUGCUACCGGGUUUUCACUAAGGAAGAUGGCGAUUAAGUUGUCACAAAGUAACAUUUGGCGUUCAGUUGGCAAUGCAUUUAAGUCAAGUAAGGGAUGAGGAAUCCAUGUGAGCUCGGCAGUGCUGUUCGCCAUGGCUUGGUAUUCAGAUUCACAACUACAUCUUAAAAAGGUAGGUUUUUUUUCAAACUCCAAGACCCAAGAUUUGCACCAAAGAAGAUCAUGUAGCCAUACGUGGAAAGUCUGGUUUCAUUAUAACAUGUUAAACCUGCAUCUGAGUAACCAAUGAGCAUAGAUUUGGAGGACACAAAAAUUGAAGACCAUGAUUGAGAGUGUCCUUGAUGUAUCACAUUAUCCUUUUUACUAAGGUGAGGUGUUCAGGUGUAGGAGGGUGGAGGAACUGACCUGCUUGAUUAACAAUGUAUGAGAUGUCCAGAUUGGUGAUAGCCAAAUACUAAAGAAUGCCAACAAAUGAUCGGUAGAGGGUUGAGUCGUGAAAAGGAGUUUUGUUUAUAGAAAAAAAACAUCGUUUUUGGCAAGUGGCAUUCCAACAGGUUUAGAAACAAGAAGACAGGCCCGACAUAGAAUAUCAUGACCAUACUUGGUUUGGUUUAGAAACAAACCAUUGGAAGUGUAAUGGUUUGUUGAAAGUGUAAGCCGCCUAAAGCUUGGUAGUAACAAAUUUCAUAUGCAUUUUUUUGGACAAUACAAUUUCUCGAAUGAAAUGGUGAUCAAUGUCGAUAUGUUUAGCUGUCUUGUGUGCUACCGGGUUUUCACUAAGGAAGAUGGCACUUAAGUUGUCACAAAGUAACAUUAGGCGUUCAGUUGGCAACGCAUGUAAGUCACGGAAAGGAUGAGGAAUCCAUCUGAGCUCGGCAGUGCUGUUCGCCAUGGUUUGGUAUUCGGAUUUACAGCUACAUCUUAAAAAGUUAGUUUUUUUUCAAACUCCCAGACCCAAGAUUUGCACCAAAGAAGAUCAUGUAGCCAUAGGUGGAACGUCUGGUUCCAAUAUAACACGCUCAAUCUGCAUCCGAGUAACCAAUGAGCAUUAAUUUGGAGGACACAAAAAUUGAAGACCAUGAUUGAGAGUGUCAUUAAUCUAUCGCAUGAUCCUUUUUACUAAGGUGAGGUGUUCAUGUGUUAGAGGGUGGGGGAACUGACCUGCUUGAUUAACAAUGUAUGAGAUGUCCAGGUUGGUGAUAACCAAAUACUAAAGAGCACCAACAAUCGAUCAGAAGAGGGUUGAGUCGUUCAAAGGAGUUUUAUUUAUAGAAAAAACAUCAUUUGUGGCCAGUGGCAUUCCAACAGGUUUAGAAAAAAGAAGACUGGCCCGACAUAGAAUAUCAUGACCAUACUUGGUUUGGUUUAGAAACAAACCAUCGGAAGUGCAAUGGUUUGUUGAAAGUGUAAGCCACCUAAAGCUUGGUAGCAACGAAUUUCAUUUGCAAUUUUUCGUACCAUACAAGUUCUCGAACGAAAUGGUGAUCAAUGUCGAUAUUUUAAGCUCUCUUCUGUGCUACCGGGUUUUUCACUAAGGAAGAUGGCGCUUAAGUUGUCACAAAGUAACAUUAGGAGUUCAGUUGGCAAUGCAUUUAAGUCACGUAAGGGAUGAUGAAUCCAUGUGAGCUCGGCAGUGCUGUUUUCCAUGGCUUGGUAUUCAGAUUCAUAACUACAUCUUAAAAAGGUAGGUUUUUUUUUCAAACUCCGAGACCAAAGAUUUGCACCAAACAAGAUCGUGUAGCCAUAGGUGGAACGUCAGGUUUCAAUAUAACACGUUAAAUCUGCAUCUGAGUAACCAAUGAUCAUAGAUUUGGAGGACACAAAAAUUGAAGACCUUGAUUGAGAGUGUCCUUGAUGUAUCGCAUGAUCCUUUUAACUAAGUUGAGGUGUUCAUGUGUUGGAGGGUGGAGAACUGACCUGCUUCAUUAACAAUGUAUGAGAUGUCCGGGUUGGUGAUAGCCAAAUACUAAAGAGCGCCAACAAACAAUCGGAAGAGGGUUGAGUCAUGAAAAAGAGUUUUGUUUAUAGAAAAAACGUCGUGUGUGGCAAGUGUAAUGCGUUGUGGAAAGUGUAAGCCGCCUAAAGCUUGGUAGUAAAAAAUUUCAUACCCAAUUUUUCAGACAAUACAAGUUCUUGAACGAAAUGGUGAUCAAUGUCGAUAUGUUUAGCUCACUUGUGUGCUACUGGAUUUUCAUUAUGGAAGAUGGCGCUUAAGUUGUCACAAAGUAACAUUAGGCAUUCAGCUGGCAAUGCAUUUAAGUCAUGGAAAGGAUGAGGAAUACAUGUGAGCUCGGCAGUGCUGUUCGCCAUGGGUUGGUAUUUGGAUUCACAGCUACAUCUUAAAAACUUUGGUUUUUUUUUUCAAACUCCCAGACCCAAGAUUUGCACCAAAGAAGAUCGUGUAGCCAUAGGUGGAACGUCUGGUUUCAAUAUAACACGUUAAAUCUGCAUCUGAGUAACCAAUGAGCAUAGAUUUGGAGGACACAAAAAUUGAAGACCAUGAUUGAGAGUGUCCUUGAUGUAUCGCAUGAUCCUUUUUACUAAGGUGAGGUGUUCAUGUGUUGGAGGGUGGAGGAACUGACUUGCUUGAUUAACAAUGUAUGAGAUGUCCGGGUUGGUCAUAACCAAAUACUAAAGAGCGCCAACAAACGAUCGGUAGAGGGUUGAGUCGUUCAAAGGAGUUUUGUUUAUAGAAAAAACAUCAUUUGUGGCCAGUGGCAUUCCAACAGGUUUAGAAACAAGAAGACCGGAUUGACUUAGAAUAUCAUGACCAUGCUUGGUUUGGUUUAGAAACAAACCAUCGGAAGUAUAAUGGUUUAUUGAAAGUAUAAGCCACCUAAAGCUUGUUAGUAACAAAUUUUAUAUGAAAUUUUUCGGACAAUACAAGUUCUCAAACGAAAUGGUGAUCAAUGUUGAUAUGUUUAUCUCUCUUGUGUGCCACCGGGUUUUCACUAAGGAAGAUGGCGAUUAAGUUGUCUCAAAGUAACAUUAGGCGUUCAGUUGCCAAUGCAUUUAAGUCACGUAAGGGAUGAGGAAUCCAUGUGAGAUCGGCAGUGCUGUUCGCCAUGGCUUGGUAUUCAGAUUCACAACUACAUCUUAAAAAGGUAGGGUUUUUUUUUCAAACUCCAAGACCGAAGAUUUGCACCAAAGAAGAUCAUGUAGCCAUAGGUGGAACGUAUGGUUUCAAUAUAUCACGUUAAACCUACAUCUGAGUAACCAAUGAGCAUAGAUUUGGAGGACACUGUAAGUCCCUAAUCUGCUUGUGUAACAAAUAGAUCUGUUUGAUGGUGCGGAAUCCCAAUCAAACGGAUGAUGUCAGAUCAAAUAGAAGAGAAAGAGAAGAAGAGAACGAUGAAUCUAUGAUGUAUUCGAUGAAAUGAUUGAAGCUCCAUACACAUAGUUCACACACACUCUUCUCUCUCUAGUUUCUCUCACACCUUAGAAUGCACACACUUAAGCUCCUUGGUGUUCAUCACUUUUUUCCUCACACCCCUCACUCCUAUAUAUAUAUAUACACACACGGGAAACAUGGGUCGUAAACAGGGUUUAUGGCCGUAAACCUGUUUACGGCCGUAAACACGCCCUUGGCCAUAAACUUGACCGUAAACACAUAAGAUAUUACAUAAAAAUACAAUUUCCUAGAAAAGCAAAGUAUAAACCAUAAUAUUGACCCAACAAUCUCCUCAUUGGUUUAUAGCUUUCUUUUCUUUUCUUAAGUGACCCAACAAGCUCCCCCCUAAGAAGUAGCUGGCUUUUCUUGUUAAUCUUCAUUGGGAACUUGGCUUCAGUAUUAAUCUUCAAAUUCUUCACGACUUCAAGAUGAACUUGAUGAGUCUUCAAUAAAUGACUUCAUAUUGAGAGGUUGGGCUUUUCUUCAGAGUCUGGCUUUGAACGCACGUCAGGUGAGGAGGCUUGAUGUACUGAUUCUUGAAAGAUAGCGCUUUCAGCUUGAGAAUCUUCAGAGAGAACAUCAGAGAGAACUGAACUUCUAGAUCACUUCAGCAGGUACAAAGAUAGCAGUAGACUGAUUGAGGAGGCUUCAAUGCAAUCCGUCACAUAGUCUUUAAUUGCAACUUCUUUGCUUAUGGGGUUGAAAGAUUAAAUGUCGAAAGAAUAAUCAUCAUUUCUUGCUCCUUCGAAUGCGAAUUCUUCGAUGCUCACGGACGAGGCUUUGGCUCAGAAAUCUUCAACACAAACUCCAUGAGUCUUAUCUAUACCUAAAAUCAGUUUUCAAGACAAAACAAAACUAAAAAGAAAACUUAGCACACAAAUUAAAACAGAAACAAAAAUAUAUUUGGAUUUGUUAAUUAAUUUUUUUGAUUUUUUUUUUUUUUUUGAAUUUUUUUGAUUUUUUUUUUCAUUAUUUUUAAUUUUUAAUUCUCCCCUAAUAUUUAAAUUAGAAGAAACUAUGACAAAUUUAACAAAAAUAAAAAUGAUAUCUAACUUUAAGAGUGAUUUGGGAUCAAAGUUUUUAGACAGCCUUAAUCCACUUGUCGGUACCUUUUAUCUUCACGUCUUUGUCUGGUCGAUCGGCGGUAUUGUUGUCCACUUAAACACGAAAAAUUGUGACACAUUCAGGACAUACUAUUUGUUACAAGACAAGGUAAACUUAAGUUCCUAAAAAUUAUAUAUGAUCCUAAUUCCUUAGAUACUAUAUCUUAAGGACCAUUCAUCUGACGACGACCAGGGAUAUUGUUGUCCACCUAAAUUGAGCAGCGAGAUCUAUAGACAAUCUUUGAGUGUUCAAUUUUAAUUGUACUGGAACAUGUUUCCUGCUUCCUGAUAUGCCCUAACCAUCAAGAACUUCCAGAGUACUCCUUACACCGGGUGAGCAGACAAUAAUUCAAAGAGAGAACAGAUUCCAAUUGCUAUUACUUAUUGUUUCUGAGGGGUUGAGAAGUAGAAGCUUGCAUAUGCUGUGUACCAGGUCGGAUUGGAAGUCACGCAAAGGAGACAGCAUAUGGCUAACAGAUAAGAGGAAUUUCACAUAUAUAUAACAUGAAGAGAAAUAGAGUUGCAUAUGUUGUGUACCAGGUCGGAUUGGAAGUCACGCAAAGGAGACAACAUAUGUCUAACAGACGGAAAGAAAGAAAAUGAUAUUCUACAGACCUAAUUUAUCGGAAUUUACCAGUCGCCCCAUCCAACCGGAAUUAAGGACAGAAUCCGCACAUCGAGGAAAAGUUAAACCACGGUUCCAAGUACGGGUUCAUUUAAUGUGACGAGUAGAUUCCCAUAUAUAUCUCCCUGCUCAACCUAUCCGAGCGUCGUAUUGUCAGGCUGAACGGAUCUAACUAGGUCAAGAUUUGUCAAGUCUAUAAAUUUCCUAAGUUCAANGACAACAUAUGAAUAACAGACAGAAAGAAAGAAAACGAUUUUCUACAGACCUAAUUUAUCGGAAUUUACCAGUCGCCCCAUCCAACUGGAAUUCAGGACAGAAUCCGCACAUCGAGGAAAAGUUAAACCACGGUUCCAAGUACAGGUUCAUUUAAUCUGACGAGUGGAUUCCCAUAUAUAUCUCCCUGCUCAACCUAUCCAAGUGUCGUAUUGUCAGGCUAAACGUAUCUAACUAGGUCAAGAUUUUUCAAGUCUAUAAAUUUCCUAAGUUCAACUCUACCUAGUCAUGUCCAUUUAGAAUCUUUCGUGCCUACCGACGCAUCAAACCAGAGCAUAGACCCUUCAACUUUGGGUACGUUACGCAGACUUAGAUUGCCUGUUAUCACUAGAUAAUAUCACUUCUCAAAACAUCUCCCUCAAGCAGAUUUCAUAACCAACAUAUUUUUUUGACUUUCUGGUUUUCUAAUGUUUUUGGAUUUUUUAAAAUUUCAAAAUUUUUUAAUUUUUGUUUUGUUUUGAUUUCUCCCCCUAAAUUUGUGCAUAGGAGAGAAACGAAAGUAAAUGCGCAAAUUUAAACUAUCCUAAAACAAAAAUUAGUCUUUAAAGUGAAUAAGCUUAGGAAAAACACAGGAGUAUAGAGAAGAAAACUCAAACCGUAAGUCACUAAUUGAAUUUGCAUCCAGAAGGUCUGAGAACAGCAUGCGUAAUCUCAGAACAGAUCCAAAAAUUCUUCAUGUCGUUAAGCACUAACCCCAUGAGUGAUCUCUUCCUUUCUUCCAUUCCCGCAAAAAGACACAUACUCUCAAACAAAGGUCUGAAUGUUGUACAGUUGAGAGAUGUACCCUAUCAUGUGCCUGGAACAGCUACUACCAACAAACCGAAGUCUGAUGAUAUGCCUCCAUAGCUGCUCCGACACAGAGCGAGAUCAGAUGGUCUUUGGAACCCAGUCCAUUUUGAAACUGGGUCAACCUUUGUCAUCCUUGCACGGUACUCUCUCCCAUCAUAUAUCCUGUUUAUCACAAACAGAAGAUGAAGAAAUAUUAGAGGCAUUAGCUGAUUUGGGAGAGUGAGCCUUUGGAACCCAUUUGUAGUUGGGUUUAACCCAUUUCUUUUUCGAUCUGAUGGGUGGCUCAAUACUUUCUUUUGAUCUUGAUGUUGUCCGUUGAGAUGACUUUGAUUUUGGCUUCACGGGAGCAUCUCCUGGAUUUGGCUUCUUGGCUGACAUUCCCUUCUUGACUUUGGGAUUUUGAUUCUUGUCCUUUGGAGUUUGAUUCUUGGCCUUGGGAGUUGAAUUCUUGGCCUUCUUGGCAUUCCAGUCAUCAAUUUCUGAUCAUGAUCUCGAGGGGUUUCUUUUGAAGUAUCUCCCUCUUGGAGCGUUUUGCCAUCCUUGUGCAUAGUAGGGAACGUAUGCGCGAUUUGGACAAUUUCUGGCAAUGUGUCCAGGUGUUCCACAGUAAAAACAUGUCUUUUUCAUCACUGUAAAGUUGUUUCUUCCUGCCCCUCGUGGCGUAUCCUUGCCUUGACUCUUAUUUGUUCCCACAAGCACAAUUGUAGGAGGCACUCUGUUUCGCUGGAAUUGGUGCCCUGUAUUUCUCAACAGCAGGUUGAUCAGAAACAGCUGAGUUCGAAGCAACAGAUUCAGAGUUCAAGGAGGUGUUGGUUUGUUCAAUGAUUUUUUCCUUGUUCUCAUGUUCUGCUACUUUACCUGCACAUGAAGCAGAAACAUUAGUAUUUUUAACAUUAAUAAAUCCUCAUGACACAAAUCCAUCUCGUUUGCCAUAUCGAAGAUGUGGCUCCCUGUUAGUUUCGUCCUGUGUCAUAGGGAUGGAUGUGUAGUUAUGAUUAUAAGGAGGAGGUACACUAUCAUACCCUAGACCCUUGUUUUGAUUUUCUUUGAAUUUUAAUUGGGUUUCAUAUAAGGACUCGACUGUCUGACUUGACGCAGUAUAAUUUUUGAAACUGACAUCUAUUUUUCCACACUUAAUUUUUAAAGCGUCAAGUUCUUCAGUUACAGAAGGAAGUUGUCUCUUAAUAUAGUCAUAAUUUUCACACUUGUUGCUAUACUCUUCCUGAAGCUUCCUAAAGUCCUUGGUUUUUUGCUUCUAAUUCAUCCUUCAGGGAUUUCUGUCAUUUCCUGAAUUGAUAUCCUUUAUAUCUCAGGUCCUCAACUUCCUUUUUAAUAAAUCAAUUUGUUCCCGAAGAAAUUUAAUCGUAUCUUCACAUGAUUGAGAACAUGAAACUUCAGAUGAAUGAGAACACGUCACUUCAUUGACCGGAAGGUUUGCGGAACUCAUUGUUUUUCGACAAUUCAAAGCGUUAAGUUCUUCAAUUCUAUCAGCCAGACUAAGACGAUUGAGAUCCUCUGUCUUCUUGAUGUCAGCCACGUCCAUAUCCUACGAUUUCGGAAGUGCAUUCAGCAUCUUUUUGUUUAUCUCAGAUUUAGUCAAGACGAUCCCAGAUAUAUUCAUCUCAGUAGAGAGCGUGGUAAAUCGCUGCAACUGAGCUUCCAGGGUUUCUCCAGAGAUAUAAUCGAACAUGUUGAAAUUUUGUCUUAAAAUCUCCUGACGACUCUCUUUAAUGUUUUCAAUUUCCUCGUAAACUUCAAAAACUAUUAAAAGCACAACUAGAAUUUAAAAGUCAAACUUAAAUUUAAAAAUGCCGUUUGACUAUAAAUCUCAAAAGUCAACUUUAAAAGUCAAAUUUAAAAGGUCAAACUCAAAAGUCAAACUUGAACAGUCAAACCGAAAAGCUAAAUUUUGAAAAUUUAAAAGUCAAACGAGAAAGUCAAAGUUCCAAGUCAAAGGUCAAACUUUAAAGUCAAAGUCAAAAUUUUAAGUAAAAAGUCAAAAGUAAAAUUCAAAAAUUAAAAAUUAAAAUUUUUGGUCGAAAAAGAAAUUGAUUUUUGGGGUUAAAAGUGUUAAAAUGCGAAAUUUGGUGCGACUGGGAGUGGUUUUAUGUUAAAAUCGAAAGGUAUGUGACAAGUUUCUGGUUGGUUCAACUGGUAAGACGUGCUGCUGAUGAACCAGAGGUCGCGGGUUCUAUCCCCUGCACCCCCAAUUACGCCUCUGAUUUUUUUUAAUGUGCGAAGACGAAGACUGCAGCUUGCUGAACGAGAUGCGAGACCGAGGCUCCGAGGCGCGAGCCGAUGCGUGAUGCUAGUCUGAUGUCUGAAGGCGAGGACCUGGUGCGAAGAUGCUGAACGUGGCGAGGUGCGAUGUGCUGAUGCGAAGCUUGGCUUGCUGCUGCUGAGAAGUGUAUAAAGCUUAAACAAUCAAACUGCUUAAGAAAUCCCUUGUAGCUCAACUGGUUAAGGCACGAUUUUUGAAGUGUUGGAGGUCUCGAGUUCGAACCUUGGCACCUCAAAAUCCCCUUUCUUUUUAUAAUAAAGAGUUGUUGAUGCGAAAAAAGAGCUGCUGAUGCGAGGAUGAGGAAGAAAACACGUUUCCGGCCAUAAACUUCGGCGACCGUAAACCCUUCAAAGACCGUAAACUCUCUAGAAAUUGUUGUUCUUGACGAAAAACAAUGUUUUUUCACCCUUUUUGCUCCAAAACUCGAUCAAAAACUCGUUUUUAGGAAAAACGUGAAGAACAAACCCCCCUUAUUUUUUGCGAGAUCUAUCCAAAAACGCAAAAAUCUCUUCAAAAUAAGAUCAAAUAUGCUCUAGAUCUGAAAAAAAAUUAAUUGAUACAACCAAGCUCUGAUACCAAUUGUAAAUCCUAAUAUGCUUGUGUAUCAAUCAGAUCCGUUUGAUGGUGCGGAAUCCCAAUCAAACGGAUGAUGUCAGAUCUAAUAGAAGAGAAGGAGAAGAAGAAAACGAUGAAUCUAUGAUGUAUUCAAUGAAAUGAUUGAAGCUCCAUACACAUAGUUCACACACACUCUUCUCUCUCUAGUUUCUCUCACACCUUAGAAUGCACACACUUAAGCUCCUUGGUGUUCAUCACUUUUUUCCUCACACCCCUCACUCCUAUAUAUAUACACACAUGGGAAACAUGGGCCAUAAACAGGGUUUACGGCCGUAAACCUGUUUAGGGCCGUAAACACCCCCUUGGCCAUAAACUUUACCGUAAACACAUAAGAUAUUAAAUAAAAAUACAAUUUCCUAGAAAAGCAAAGUAUAAACCAUAAUAUUGACCCAACAGACACAAAAAUUGAACACCAUAAUUGAGAGUGUCCUUGAUGUAUCGCAUGAUCCUUUUUACUAAGGUGAAGUGUUCAUGUGUAGGAGGGUGGAGGAACUGACCUGCUUGAUUAACAAUGUAUGAGAUGUCCAGGUUGGUGAUAGCCAAAUACUAAAGAGCGCCAACAAACGAUUGAUAGAGGUUUGAGUCAUGAAAAGGAGUUUUGUUUAUAGAAAAAACAUCGUUUGUGGCAAGUGGCAUUCCAACAGGUUCAGAAACAAGAAGACUGUCCCGACAUAGAAUAUCAUGACCAUACUUUGUUUGGUUUAGAAACAAACCAUUGGAAGUGUAAUGGUUUGUUGAAAGUGUGAGCCUCCUAAAGCUUGGUAGUAACAAAUUUCAUAUGUAUUUUUUCGAACAAUACAAGUUCUCGAAUGAAAUGGUGAUCAAUGUCGAUACGUUUAGCUCUCUUGUGUGCUACCGGGUUUUCACUAAGGAAGAUGGCGCUUAAGUUGUCACAAAGUAACAUUAGGCGUUCAGUUGGCAAUGCAUUUCAGUCACGGAAAGGAUGAGGAAUCCAUGUGAGCUCGACAGUGUUGUUCGCCAUGGAUUGGUAUUCGGAUUCACAGCUACAUCUUAAAAAGUCAGUUUCUUUGUUCAAACUGCCUGACCCAAGAAUUGCACCAAAGAAGAUCACGUAGCCAUAGGUGGAACGUCUGGUUUCAAUAUAACACGUUAAAUCUGCAUCUGAGUAACCAAUGCCCAUUGAUUUGGAGGACACAAAAAUUGAAGACCGUGAUUGAGAGUGUCCUUGAUGUAUCGAAUGUUCCUUUUUACUAAGGUAAGGUGUUCAUGUGUUGGAGGGUGGAGGAACUCACCUGCUUGAUUAACAACGUAUGAGAUGUCUGGGAUGGUGAUAACGAAAUAAUAAAGAACGCCAACAAACGAUUGGUAGAGGGUUGAGUCGUGGAAAGGAUUUUUGUUUAUUGAAAAAUAUCAUUUGUGGCCAGUGCCAUUCCAACAGGUUUAUAAAAAAGAAGACCGGCCCGACAUAGAAUAUCAUGACCAUGCUUUGUUUGGUUUAGAAACAAACCAUCGGAAGUGAAAUGGUUUGUUGAAAGUGUAAGCCACCUAAAGCUUGCUAGUAACAAAUUUCAUAUGCAAUUUUUCGGACAAUACAAGUUCUCGAAGGAAAUGGUGAUCAAUGUCGAUAUGUUUAGCUCUCUUGUGUGCUUCCGGGCUUUCACUAAGGAAGAUGGCGAUUAAGUUGUCACAAAGUAACAUUAGUGGUUCAGUUGGCAAUGCAUUUAAGUCACGUAAGGGAUGAGGAAUCCAUGUGAGCUCGGCAGUGUCGUUCGCCAUGACUUGGUAUUCAGAUUCACAGCUACAUCUUAAAAAGUUAGUUUUUUUUUUCAAACUCCCAGACCCAAGAUUUGCACCAAAGAAGAUCGCGUAGCCAUAGGUGGAACAUCUGGUUUCAAUAUAACACGUUAAAUCUGCAUCUGAGUAACCAAUCCGCAUUGAUUUGGAGGACACAAAAAUUGAAGACCAUGAUUGAGAGUGUCCUUGAUGUAUCGCAUGAUCCUUUUUAGUAAGGUAAGGUGUUCAUGUGUUGGAUGGUGGAGGAACUCACCUGCUUGAUUAACAAUGUAUGAGAUGUCCGGGUUGGUGAUAACCAAAUAAUAAAGAGCGCCAACAAACGAUCGGUAGAGGGUUAAGUCGUGGAAAAGAGUUUUGUUUAUAGAAAAAUAUCAUUUGUGGCCAGUGCCAUUCCAACAGGUUUAUAAAAAAGAAUACCGGCCCGACAUAGAAUAUCAUGACCAUACUUGGUUUGGUUUAGAAACAAACCAUCGGAAGUGCAAUGGUUUGUUGAAAGUGUAAGCCGCCUACAGCUUGGUAGUAACAAAUUUCAUAUGCAAUUUUUCGGACAAUACAAGUUCUCGAACGAAAUGGUGAUCAAUGUCGUGAUGGGUUUUAGCCAUAAGAACUUUCCUAUGUGCGCAUGCAAAACCCUAAUACUUGGAUCUAGGCUUUCUAAUUAAACAUGCUUUGAAUCCAAGACUUCUAAUGACUAAUUAGGUAUGAGAACAAUACAAAAUUAGGUCUAGAAGCAUACCUUUGAAUCUCUUGUUUGAUCUUGUUGUCUUGGAGUUCUAGAGUCACAAUUGUCACUCCUCUAAUGGCUUACAAACACCAAAUAGCAAAGAAGAUGAUUUGGGAGAGAGAGGCUAGGAGGAAAUCGGCCAGGGGUUCUCUAUUCACAAUGAGGUGCCGAUUUCCCUAAGCCAUGGGGUCUAUUUAUACUUGUAGACUCCUUAAGGGUUACAACUUAAACCCUAGUUGGAUAAUCUUCUCUUAAAGAAAUCCAUAUCCUUACCAUAGAUAGCCUUGGACGAUUUUGAGCUAUCCUUAGCUCUAGAAUUCGUCCAACCCCUAUCCAAUAAGGAUUUACAGUCUAAAGUGUAACUAUCAAACAAUUGACAGUUUAUACCCUCUUAUUUAAUUAAUCUCUUUAAGUCACCAAAUUAAUACCAAUUAAUUUAUGACUUAUAUUAAUCAAAUAACAAUAUUAUUAUUCUUUAUAUUAUUCUCAUAAUAUAUUAAUAAUAUUUAUUCUCUCUUAAUAAAUCAUCCUAUCAAGUUGCUAUGGUGAAGGCAACCCAAAAGGACCAUGCACAAUCGGGUCAAAUACUUGCCUAAUAUAGUUGCAGCCUUAGACACUAUUCCAACAGUCUCCCACUUGGAUAAGUCUAGUAACUAUAUGCACAAGUACAAUUCGAUUUGCAAUCGUAGCUCUCAAAGACGCUGUCAAACUCUGAUCUAAUCAAUCUUGUCCUUUAGAUAAGGGAUCGUACAGUCCUCUGUUAGAUAUCAUGCUGACAAUUCUAUGGAAUGAUUAGUCAAGCAUUUAGGUUUCUCGAUCUCUGAUUUAUUUGACAUAGAACUUAAUCGAACACAUCAAUUCAGUUCUGACCGGGCCCGGCACAUAAGUCAAAUCAAAUCAUCGAGCGGCCGAGAUAUCGCUUUUACCUUCUUAGAUAAAAGUUACAGAUAAACUUCGACUUAUAUGCAUUUACUUAUUCAUUAACCAACUAUACACAACAAUGCGUUUUAUAACACCGAGUUACUGAUGCGUUUUCGCAUUAUCAAUGUACAACCAAUUAACAAAUAACAAACCAUAUAUCUAGGUUUUAAGACUAUAUGAUAUUAUCGUCUUGCGAUCACCCUUUUAUAUCAUAUUCCAUAAGGUGAUUCCAGCAAGCGCGGGUUUGUUCCAAUGCUCAAAACUAGUUCAUAAGCACUCAUGAACGUUGCAGCAACCCUUUGCUAUGUCUAACACCAUUUAGACAAUCUACACACCAAUUCAUGACAAUCUUCAUUCAUAUCUACUUCCAACAUAUGAACGAUUGUGGACAAUUUGAACAAUUCGAUUAUUCCUAAUAAACUCAAUUAUUCUGGAAGUCAAAACAUGCAAAGUGAAACAAUAGUUAAACAAUUAACAUAAGAUAGUAACAUUACUCAUAAAUAAAACUCCUUUAUUUAAUCAUCAAAUGUUAAUUACAUUUAUCUAUUACACGUUUCUAAUACUAUCUAAUCUAUGCUAAUAUCAUCCUUCAGCCCAAUACUCCUAGCAUGCUGCAAGUGCUUAACCCUACUCAGUCCCUUCGUAAGCGGAUCUGCUGGGUUAUCUUCUGAUGAUAUCCUCUUCACUACGAGUUGUCCUUCUUCUACACGAUGUCUAAUGAAGUGAUAUUUUCUGUCGAUAUGUCUUGAUCUACCAUGAUCCCUCGGUUCCUUGGUCAAGGCAACCGCUCCUUCGUUAUCACAGAAAAUCUCCAUGGGCUCCUUUAUGGCAGGUACAACUCCAAGAUCACCGAUGAAGUUCUUUAGCCAUAUUGCCUCCUUCGACGCUUCGCUCGCUGCAAUGUACUCUGAUUCGCACGUUGAAUCAGCUACGGUUUCCUGCUUGGAACUCUUCCAUGUCACUGCUCCUCCAUUUAGGGUAAAGACCCAGCCCGACUGCGAACGGUAGUUGUCCCUGUCGGUCUGAAAACUGGCGUCACUAUACCCUCGCACCUUCAAGUCAUCACUCCCUCCGAGGACUAAGAACCAUUCCUUCGUCCUCCGAAGGUACUUAAGGAUAUUCUUCACCGCAAUCCAAUGGGCUCUGCCAGGGUUCCCUUGAUAUCUACUAACCAUGCUCAAAGCAAAGGCUACAUCAGGGCGAGUACAAGUCAUAGCGUACAUGAUUGAGCCAACUGCGGAAGCGUAUGGUACUCGGCUCAUUUCUGCUAUUUCAGCUUCGGUACACGGACAUUGAGUCUUACUCAACUUGGCAUUACUUUGUAUCAGUAAUUCUCCCUUCUUCGAGUUUUCCAUACUAAAACAUUUUAGUACCUUCUCUAAGUAAGUGUUCUGACUAAGUCCAAUUAGUCUCUUACUUCUUUCUCUUACUAUCCUUAUUCCCAAAAUUUAAGAAGCCUCUCCGAGGUCCUUUAUAGCGAAGCACUUCCCGAGUCCAGGACUUAACUUCCUGCAGAGUUCGGAUGUCGUUUCCUAUGAGUAAUAUGUCAUCGACAUAUAGAACGAGGAAGCUUACUAUACUCCCACUGACAUAUAGAACGAGGAAGCUAAGUAUAGUCCCACUGGCUUUGACAUAUACACAUGAUUCAUCUUUGCUUCGUACAAAUCCAAACUCUUUGACUUUCUCAUCGAAGCAAAGAUUCCAUCUGCGAGACGCUUGCUUAAGUCCAUAAAUGGACUUCUCAAGCUUACACACUCUAUUCGGAUGCUUCGGAUCCACAAACCCCUCUGGCUGAGCCAUGUAAACAUCCUCAGCCAACUUUCCGUUAAGGAAAGCGGUCUUGACAUCCAUUUGCCAAAUCUCAUAAUCAUGAAAUGCGGCAAUUGCUAGCAUCACUCUAAUAGAUUUAAUCUUCGCAACUGGUGAGAAGGUCUCAUCAUAGUCAACUCCGGGAGUUUGAGUAAAGCCCUUCGCAACCAAUCGCGCCUUAUACGUGUGCACAUUCCCAUCCACGUCGGUCUUUUUCUUGAAGAUUCAUUUGCACCCAACCAUCUUACGUCCGGGCAUAUUGUCAACCAAAUUCCAAACAUGGUUGUUAUACAUGGACUGAAUCUCAUUGUCCAUCGCCUCUUUCCAUUUUGCAGACUCUGGGCCUGCCAUCGCUUCCUUAUAGCUAUUAGGUUCAUCUAGAUUUAUUAGUGUACCAUCACUAAUAUACGUGUCCCCUUCGGUAGUAAUAUGAAAACCAUAAAACUAGGGUUGAACUGUAACUCUAUCGGAAUGUCUAAGAGGUAAAGAUUCGUCAAUUGGUUCAACCGGAGUUUCCUCCUCGGGUUGAGUGCCAGCGGUAGAGGUUCCUUCAUCUAUCGACUCUUGAAUCUCUUCAAGUUCGAUUUGCCUCCCACUGUCUCCUUGGCUUAUGAGUUCUCGCUCUCGGAAAACUCCUCUCCUCGCAACGAAGACAACAUUGUCCUUCGGUCUAUAGAAGAGAUAUCCAAAGGAUGUCUGCGGGUAGCCGAUGAAAAUACAUCGCUCACUUCGAGGUUCAAGCUUGUCGUGAGUAUCUCGUCUUACGAAAGCCUCGCAACCCCAAACCUUGAUAUGUGCCAACGAGGGAGCUUUCCCUGUCCACAUCUCGUGAGGUGUUUUGGCAACCUUCUUAGUAGGGACUCGGUUAAGGAUAUGGGCGGCAGUCUCUAAGGCAUACCCCCAAAAAGAGAUAGGUAGUGAAGCACGACUCAUCAUAGAGCGAACCAUAUCCAAUAAGGUUCGAUUACGCCUUUCUGCCACACCAUUCAACUGCGGUGUCCUAGGAGGCGUCAAUUGUGAAACUAUUCCACACUCCUUGAGAUAAUCGUGGAAUUCAAGACUUAGGUACUCUCCUCCUCGAUCGGAUCGAAGCAUCUUGAUUUUCCUGCCCAAUUGAUUCUCCACUUCAUUCUUGAACUCUUUGAACUUUUCAAAAGUUUCUGACUUUUGCUUGAUUAAAUAGAUAUACCCAUAUCUACUAUAGUCAUCGGUAAAAGUCACGUAGAAGCGGUUCCCAUCCUUCGUGGUUGAUCUAAACGGUCCACAUACAUCGGUAUGUAUUAGGUCCAAUAGACCCUCACCCCUUUCACAUGUACUCGUGAAGGGUGACUUAGUCAUCUUUCCAAGCAAACAAGACUCGCAUGUGUCAUCUUCCCUAAGGUCGAAUGACUCCAACACUCCAUCCUUUUGGAGUUGGGCUAUGCGUUUCUUGUUGACAUGUCCAAGACGACAAUGCCACAAGGAUGCUUUAUCCAUACUAUUGGAAGAAUCUAUGUUCAAAACAUCAUUUCCUAAGUUAUCAACAAUCAUAACAGUUUCAUAAAUUCCAUUACAUGGUAUAGCUUCAAAAUAAAAGACACCAUUUAGAUAAGCCAAAAUAGAACCAUUCUCAUUAUUAAAAGAAAAUCUAAAACCUUGUCUAAACAAACCAUGAAAUGAAAUGAUGUUUCUAGCCAUUUCUGGCGAAUAGCAACAAUUGUUCAAAUCUAAACUUAAACCAUUCCUAAGCACUAAAGAAUACACUCCAAUCUUGGUCACAGGCGACGAUCUUCUGUUCCCCAUGAUUAGAUUUAUUCUUCCAGCCUCCACAUCCCUAUUUCUUCUUAGUCCCUGCACAUUAGAACAAAUGUGGUAACCACAACCGGUAUCAAGAACCCAAGAAAUAGCAUGAGAUGAAUCGUUAGAUUUAAUUGUGUAUAUACCUGCGAAAGACGGCUUGAUCUUUCCUUCCUUGAUGGCUUGCAGGUACUCUGGGCAGCUUCUCUUCCAAUGUCCUAUCUUAUGGCAGUGGUGGCACUCUGCCUCCUUUGGGUUAGGGCAGGGCUUAGCAGGAUUAACUUUGGUCCCACUAGAAGAGGCAUCAUCUCUGGCUUUAACCUUGCGAUAGUUCUUAGACGAACCCUUCUUCUUCUUUCCCUUCCCUUGACCAAAAGACAGGAGNNNNNNNNNNNNNNNNNNNNNNNNNNNNNNNNNNNNNNNNNNNNNNNNNNNNNNNNNNNNNNNNNNNNNNNNNNNNNNNNNNNNNNNNNNNNNNNNNNNNNNNNNNNNNNNNNNNNNNNNNNNNNNNNNNNNNNNNNNNNNNNNNNNNNNNNNNNNNNNNNNNNNNNNNNNNNNNNNNNNNNNNNNNNNNNNNNNNNNNNNNNNNNNNNNNNNNNNNNNNNNNNNNNNNNNNNNNNNNNNNNNNNNNNNNNNNNNNNNNNNNNNNNNNNNNNNNNNNNNNNNNNNNNNNNNNNNNNNNNNNNNNNNNNNNNNNNNNNNNNNNNNNNNNNNNNNNNNNNNNNNNNNNNNNNNNNNNNNNNNNNNNNNNNNNNNNNNNNNNNNNNNNNNNNNNNNNNNNNNNNNNNNNNNNNNNNNNNNNNNNNNNNNNNNNNNNNNNNNNNNNNNNNNNNNNNNNNNNNNNNNNNNNNNNNNNNNNNNNNNNNNNNNNNNNGAGCUUCUCAUCGAGGACAUACUCCUUAUCCUCAUAGCGAGCAAUGGUGCGAAUGUAUCUUAUCCAUUCGCUAAAGUUCGUCCCAUGGAAAGUGAUCUUUUGACAAAGGCUCAUCAAUGUGAAAGAACUAGCAGCAGCGUUGUUUGCGUUCGACAUCUACAAAUAGAAAGGACAAAGAUAGAUUAGAAUAUGAAUCCCUAAUUAUCACCCAAUAAGAAAAAUUAGGGCUAGGAUCCAACAACAACAUUUACAUAUUAGAAAAGGGAUGCCGUAAUCUAACAUGCAAAUAAAUUGAAGGUAAGUGAAUGACGAUUCACUAAUUCUCCACCAUAAAACCUAACUAUAAGUCCUAAAUGUAUUGAGAAUUCCUAGGUUCGGAUGAGAUUCAUUGAAACUAUUCAAUGGCAUGUUUAAAUCUCGAUAUGCCCCUCUUGUUUGUGACUGGGAUACCGAGGAUCACAAAGCGGGUGUGAAUUACCAUGCAAAUUCACAUGGUGCCUUCAUUGUAACGAUCACCUAUUCGAUGUGCCGGUAAACCACACACGCUCCAUCGAACUAUGAUAAACAAUGAAUCACCCUUUGCCACCUUUGCUUAGAACCAAUUAGUGUGCCGGUAAACCACACACGCUCCACUAACUUCUUAGCAAGGGUGCAAAGUGUAAUUUCAUGGGAUUGCAUCAAUUCACUUUUCCUAAAGUAACUAAGAUUGGGAAAUUUUAAAAUAUGUGUAGUUACUUUGUAUUUCUUAUUAUACUUUUAAUGAGAGGAUGAGGUUGCCCUAUCCUACCCGUUCGGCUAACGACCCUCCACCGAUCAAGCAAGCGGUGGGUGUGAGUGUACACCCAUUAAGCGCCAUUUUAUAGGCCGCAACCUUAUACCCACCUUAUAGAUCGGCUUCGUGAAUGAGGCCUACUAACGGUAAGACUAGCAUUUUAGUUAUACAUAUAUAUACAUAUUAUUCUUGUAAUAUUAUAUUAGUAUAGGGUUGUAUUUUAAACUUUUAAAAACUUAGGGUUUGAAAUUUAAAUUGUCUAAAUUAAAACUUUUAAUCACAAAACAUAAAUUUCAAAACUUGAGGACAAGUUUUAAACAUUUAAAACAUGGAGGAUCAAAUAACAAAUAAUUUUAAUUAACAAUUAAUUUCCUAAUUAUCUAUAUUUGAUUUAUUCAAGAUUUCUUGUAAGAUAAUUACCAAUUUAAUCAAAAUAAUUAAUUAAUUAUCAUAUAAGGAAAUUAAAUAUUUUAUUAGUUGAUAAAUAUCUUUAAUUAGAUCAAGAUUAUAGUCAUAUAUAUCAAAAAAUCGGAUU
rnacentral:lncRNA from 1 species